rnacentral:rRNA from 1 species
UACGUAGGGUGCGAGCGUUAAUCGGAAUUAUUGGGCGUAAAGAGCUCGUAGGCGGUGUGUCGCGUCGGCCGUGAAAACCUGCAGCUUAACUGUGGGCUUGCGGUCGAUACGGGCAUCACUGGAGUUCGGCAGGGGAGACUGGAAUUCCUGGUGUAGCGGUGAAAUGCGCAGAUAUCAGGAGGAACACCGGUGGCGAAGGCGGAUCUCUGGGCCGAUACUGACGCUGAGGAGCGAAAGCGUGGGGAGCGAACAGG